GGCCUAACACAUGCAAGUCGAGCGGCAGCGGGAAGUAGCUUGCUACUUUGCCGGCGAGCGGCGGACGGGUGAGUAACGCGUGGGAAUCUACCCAUUUGUGGGGGAUAACUUGGGGAAACUCAAGCUAAUACCGCAUAAUCCCUACGGGGGAAAGCAGGGGAUCUUCGGACCUUGCGCAGAUGGAUGAGCCCGCGUCGGAUUAGCUAGUUGGUAGGGUAAAGGCCUACCAAGGCGACGAUCCGUAACUGGUCUGAGAGGAUGACCAGUCACAUCGGGACUGAGACACGGCCCGAACUCCUACGGGAGGCAGCAGUGGGGAAUCUUGGACAAUGGGGGCAACCCUGAUCCAGCCAUGCCGCGUGUGUGAAGAAGGCCCUAGGGUUGUAAAGCACUUUCAGUAGGGAGGAAGGCUUCGGGUUAAUACCCUGGAGUACUUGACGUUACCUACAGAAGAAGCACCGGCUAAUUUCGUGCCAGCAGCCGCGGUAAUACGAAAGGUGCGAGCGUUAAUCGGAAUUACUGGGCGUAAAGCGCGCGUAGGCGGUUAGUUAAGUCGGAUGUGAAAGCCCAGGGCUCAACCUUGGAACUGCAUCCGAUACUGGCUAGCUAGAGUGCAGUAGAGGGAGGUGGAAUUUCCGGUGUAGCGGUG
rnacentral:rRNA from 1 species